rnacentral:rRNA from 1 species
AGAGUUUGAUCAUGGCUCAGAACGAACGCUGGCGGCAGGCUUAACACAUGCAAGUCGAACGAGUGUAGCAAUACACUAGUGGCGCACGGGUGAGUAACGCGUGGAUAUCUGCCUUUUGGUUCGGGAUAACCUUGGGAAACUAGGGCUAAUACCGAAUGGUUCCUACGGGAUAAAGAUUUAUCGCCAAAAGAUGAGUCCGCGUCCGAUUAGCUAGUUGGUGAGGUAACGGCUCACCAAGGCGACGAUCGGUAGCUGGUCUGAGAGGACGAUCAGCCACACUGGGACUGAGACACGGCCCAGACUCCUACGGGAGGCAGCAGUGGGGAAUAUUGGACAAUGGGGGCAACCCUGAUCCAGCCAUGCCGCGUGAGUGAUGAAGGCCUUCGGGUUGUAAAGCUCUUUUGGCGGGGACGAUGAUGACGGUACCCGCAGAAUAAGCCCCGGCUAACUUCGUGCCAGCAGCCGCGGUAAGACGAAGGGGGCUAGCGUUGUUCGGAAUUACUGGGCGUAAAGCGUGUGUAGGUGGUUGUCCAAGUUGGAUGUGAAAGCCUUGAGCUCAACUCAAGAAAUGCAUUCAGGACUGGGCGACUAGAGGACCGGAGAGGAUAGUGGAAUUCCCAGUGUAGUGGUGAAAUACGUAGAGAUUGGGAAGAACACCAGUGGCGAAGGCGGCUAUCUGGACGGUUUCUGACACUAAGACACGAAAGCGUGGGGAGCAAACAGGAUUAGAUACCCUAGUAGUCC